GACGAACGCUGGCGGCAUGCCUAAUACAUGCAAGUCGUGCGAAUUGACGAAGUACUUGUACUUCUGACGUUAGCGGCGAACGGGUGAGUAACACGUAAGGAAUCUACCUAUAAGCGGGGGAUAACAUUCGGAAACGGAUGCUAAUACCGCAUAAUACAUAUUUCCGCAUGGUAAUACGUUGAAAGACGGCUCUGCUGUCACUUAUAGAUGACCUUGCGGUGCACUAGUUAGUUGGUGGGGUAAUGGCCUACCAAGACGAUGAUGCAUAGCCGACCUGGGAGGGUGAUCGGCCACAUUGGGACUGAGACACGGCCCAAACUCCUACGGGAGGCAGCAGUAGGGAAUCUUCCGCAAUGGGCGAAAGCCUGACGGAGCAAUGCCGCGUGAGUGAAGAAGGCCUUCGGGUCGUAAAACUCUGUUAUAAGAGAAGAACAAAUUGUAGAGUAACUGCUACAGUCUUGACGGUAUCUUAUCAGAAAGCCACGGCUAACUACGUGCCAGCCGCCGCGGUAAGAC
rnacentral:rRNA from 1 species